rnacentral:lncRNA from 1 species
GGCAACGGGUUAUAGGAAAAAGAAAUCUUAGGGCUAUUGUAUUAAUUGCUUCGAAUGGAGAAUUCUCAUGGGUUUAAGAAGUGGAAUCAGAAUCGAACUAAUUAAGGAAUGGAAGAGGGAGUCAGAGAUGAGGCGGAGCAACGCCGCCCUUAGGACGGCGGCGACGCCUGAAUUUAGAGGGAGAGAGAGGCGGGCAGUUUAAGGGGGGGAAUUAGGGCUCAAUUUGAGUGUGCAAUCGACUUUAGAGAGAGAAAAGGAUUGAGAGAAGAGAGAGACAGUGAAGGGGGAGAC